rnacentral:tRNA from 1 species
GGGCUUGUAGCUCAGCUGGCUAGAGCGCACCGCUGAUAACGGUGAGGUCGUUGGUUCGAUUCCAAUCAGGCCCA